GCGUCCUUGACCACCGGGUCCUCGCGUAUGGUGGCUGUGGCCGUGUGGGUGGAGCUCUGCAGCGGCAUUGCCGGCGCGGUGACGUCGACCACCACCGCAGAUGCUGCUCGAGGCAGCCAUGCCGGAGGAGGGAGAGGCGGGGAUGCGCUGCUGAUGGCCGCCACAAUCCGCAGUGGUAGCACGGUGCAGGAGAAAAUGGUAGAGGAUGAGCACAACCUACUUGCUCUUAUGUGAUGGAUUAUUUUCCUGAGGAGAUGCUGGAGGAUGAGCACAAUUUGCUGGUUUUGGGAUGGUAUAGCUUUCCAUGAAUGUGUUGUUGUAUGUUGCUCAGUCCAGUGAAGAUUCUUUGCUCAAAGGAAGAGUUACCCAUCCAUGGCAAUGAUGCAUAAGAGUAGCCUCUCCAGUUUGCCUGCCCCCUGCCUUAUUACUGCAUCAUGAGAAGCAGGAGGACAUGCAGUAUAGUGUACUGCUGGUUAUCAUGAUAGCAGCCAUGCAUGUGCAGCAAGGCAAGGUAGGUUCCUGUUGGUCUGGGGUGCAUGUUUUGCCGACUCUGCCCCUGUCGCUGACCUGCAAAAUAUGCGCCUCCCGUCUGUGACGGUGGUGUUUUGUUUCUAGCCUUGUAAAGGGAAAUUAUA